rnacentral:rRNA from 1 species
GGUUGCGAUCAUACCAGCACUAAUGCACCGGAUCACAUCAGAACUCCGCAGUUAAGCGUGCUUGGGCGAGAGUAGUACUAGGAUGGGUGACCCCCUGGGAAGUCCUCGUGUUGCCGCCC